CUUGUUUUUUGAUUUUGAGCGGUAUUUGAGUUCCAGACUUAAUCAAACUACUGAUCAUAACUGUCCAACAACUAUAGCUUUUCCUUGUGUUCAUUCAUUUACAUUAUUUAAUGCAUAGAACUUGAUUCGCGGCAAUCAGCGAUGUCAUAAAUACAGCUGAAGAGCCAGAAAAUGUUUUAUGUAGGGUAUCGUCGGAAAAUUAAACUAUAUCUGUCCAACAACUAUAUAGCUUUUCUGUGCUUUCAUUCUUUGAAUUAGGGAGGUUUAGUUUUGACCAUUCGUGUACGACAACGAGUACGAGAUUUUCCUGGCAAAAGUAUAGCCAACUUUUUGCUGACUUAAUUAUAGUAUUGAUUUUCUAAAAUGUAGUUUUCAAAUUAUUUUCGCGCAUGAUCGUGCACUGACAUUUGUACUAAUCUCGCAUAAAUAAUCUAUCACUGAAUCAUUAUUUGGUAUUUUUUUCUUGUUUUGUUUCAUUGGUAUUUUUAUAUCUUCACGAUCAUUCAUUUUAAAGGGAAAUAGGAUAGAUAUCUUAUAUACACUAGAUAGUGCAUCUAAUUAUUCUGCAAUUCAAAAAUUGAAGCCGUGAUUGCAAACUCAGGAUUUCCCAUGAACUGGAGAAGAGUCAUAUGUUUUCUAUUUCUUAAACAGGGAACUUAAACAUUAAGUUAAAGCUAUUCCAAAUACAUUUUCAAACUAUUCAAAUGAUGAAAGUUAUUGUUGUUUUUUAAGCGUUUAUUAGCGAGUGGGAAACUCCAAUAUGGCCGCCAUCUAUUCAAAUAGGGGUAACCGCUGGAAUAUUCUUGGCUUCAAUUUUACUAAAAGAGAUGCGCUAUCUAGUGUAUAUAAGAUAUCUAUGGGAAAUAGGAAUAAAAAUUAAACCUCUCCCAUUUGGAAGAGAGAUUCAGUCAGCCUAGAUCUAGGCCUUUACUCGGCUGGCUUUGGCAGGUAUCUUUGGCAGGUUUGGUCAAUUUCCGGCUAGCAUUUGGCCAGUCCCAGUCUUUUCAUGUGAAAAAGCGCUGAAUAUUAAAAAAAUAAUAAAAAUAGAAGGCCUAGGUCUAGACUGAGAUUCAAUGUAUUUCGAAACAUUUUUACAAAUAUUCUUUAUCGUUCUUGGUAUAUAAACGAUAUUACCUUCAUUUCAAACAAAAUCAUUAUGCAUACCGCCAUCUUGGAUAUGCAUAUGCAUCGUUGGAUACUCAUUGAACUAUAAGUUGGAUAUGCGGUGACGUCACCAGCAGGGAAACAUUAUUUUGCAUCUUGAGAACAGGGCCGUAGGAAGCUUUUUUUGAUUGGGGGGCUGAAAGCGAGGGGCGAAGGCCCGAGGAAAUUUUUAAAUUUAGAGUCUCUGAAAUGCCAUUUUUGGGACUUUGGGGAAGAUUUGACAGAAUUCUGAUAGUCUGAAAACAGCGUUUUAGUAUGUCGAAAUUUACAAUUCAGUAGUACUAAGUAGGCGAAGGCGUAUUUAAUUAACUAUAUAUUGGAUAAGUUGCAGGAAAGUAUAGGUAAUAUCUUCAUUCUUUGCAGUUUGUCAUUGAUUAAAUGAUAAAGGUCUGCAUGAUUUUGAAAAAUGAAUGAUCAUUAGCAAAUUAUUGGGGGUGCAGCCUCCCAGCCCUCCCCCGGUUGCUACGGCCCUGGAGAAAUAAAGAUGCUUUAAAUUAAAUCACAAGCUGUAUUUAUAAGCUUUCCACUGAUAUUAUUUUUUUAAUGGUUUUAAAAUGUCUACCCAGGUUGUGACGUGAUUUAAUCAGAUCUAAUUGUAAAACAAGAUGGCGAAUGGCACAAUGUUUUGGUCUCUCAAAAAUGAUAAUAGUUUGGGAGAAUUGUAAAACGAUUUGUCUAUAAGCUUAACAAUUUUUUAAAUUAGGUAAGCAUAAUUUUUGCCAUUUUCGUUUAAGGAAACGAUGUUGAAAGUUCCCCUGUUGCUUUUUGUGGUUCAAAACAGUAUGAUCCAAACCUUCUAUGUUGCUGUGGUGGAGUGCUCACAGUCUGCGCAUUCGAAUCAGGCGAUUCCAACUGUUCUGGUGGCGGGUGGCAUUAAACUGAAGUAACAUAUAUGGUGGCCAUUCAUGGAUGGCCAAGAAAUUAAUGCCGAACAUUACUAAGUAGCUUUACGUUUGAACAUUGACUUGUCGAAGUCAUACAUUUUAUAAAAAAUAAAGGC